UAUGGCAGAUUAGUGCAAUGGAUUUAAGUCCCAUUUAUAAAAUUAAAAUUUUUAUUAAAA
rnacentral:tRNA from 1 species